UACGUAGGGACCGAGCGUUGUCCGGAAUCAUUGGGCGUAAAGAGCGUGUAGACUGCCCAUUAAGUCCUGCGUGAAAUCUCGGGGCUCAACCCCGAGCGGUCGUGGGAAACUGGUUGGCUAGAGUGCGGGAGAGGAGAGUGGAAUUCCUGGUGUAGCGGUGAAAUGCGCAGAUAUCAGGAAGAACACCCGUGGCGAAGGCGGCUCUCUGGAACGCAACUGACGCUGAGACGCGAAAGCGUGGGGAGCAAACAGG
rnacentral:rRNA from 1 species